CCUCUUCUUUUGCAAUGCACCUAUUUUGUUUUCCUUGUGAUGGUUCUCAAAUGGAUGAGCCCAUUAGGGUUUACAAGUAUUUGAAAACCAAAUAUUUUAAAUCUCUUUUAGUUUCUCUAUGUCCCUCUCUUAUUCAUUUUCUUGUAUUAUAUCUCAACAUACCAUAGUUGGUCUACAAGUUGAUCUCUUCUCUGAUUUCAAAUAUUCAAAUACCUCAAACCUUUCCUCUCCAUCUUCUCAAAUUGUUUUGGUUUUGGUUUAAAAUUAAAAUCAGUAAAAGAGAGAAAAACCUAAACUAACCCAAGCCUAGCUAACCCUUUAGCCCAACUCCUUCUCACCACCGUGGCCCAAUUUUUUUUUAAGCAACACCCGGCCACCACACAAGCUUCAGCCCAAAAUAGCAUGCAAGCCAACCACCCUCUCCCUUUACACGUAAGACCACCAUGGCUAUAUCUGGUAUUGGAGAUCCCUGCAGCUCCACGUCGCCCCCCUCUCACCAUCUACCGGCCACCAACCUUCCCUCUUAAGCAACAUCAGCAAACCCUACCCCUCUCCUCCUUCCUCCACCACUUGAGCCGCCGCCGCCACCAUCCGCCGUCAACACUUCGGCCUCCAAACAUCUGCAGCAACUCCACGCCACCGGGCCUCACACCAGCACCAUGGCCACCACCUAAGCACGGUGAGGCACCCCGGCAGCCUCCUCCUUCCCCUGGACGCCUUCAAAUCGUCAAGGACUGCACCGCCGGCAACCUUCAUCCUCAGCUCACCCAGGCCACCUCCUUCUCCACCUCGCCGGCAACCUCCACCUCUCCUCCACCUCAUCACCAAGGGCACCAAGACAUCGACACCGAGCAGUUCGGGAGGAGUUCCUCUACAUCACCCCUUAAGAUCGCGUUCGUGUUUCCUCUUCCGAUUUGACAGGCGAGCCCACCCCUUCACCUAUUUUACUUUUUCAUGCUCUUUUGAUCUAUUGCUAUCCCUAUGUUGCGAUUCUGUUGUGUCACGUGUCCUAUUCCACCUGUUACCCUAUAUUACCGAAUUACACCUCCUCGCCCUACCCAUUGUUUGUUGUUUGCCAGCUUCGCGAGUCGUAGGCGAGUUUAGGGGUUUUGUUGAUAUCUCGAAAUGUUCGGGAUAUCUUGUUGGGUAGUUGUUAUUUCUUGCUAUAUCUAUUGUUGGAGAUAUUCAUGGCUCACCCUAAUGAUAAUAUUAAAAUGGAUAAGAAGAGGCAUCGGUGGGUCAACUGUAUAUUUGGUUUUACCAUGGCUCACUUGUGUCCAAUUUUAUAAUUAGGACGAGUUCUUGUUUUCUGAUCCAAGACUGAGCGCACUAACCACACGUGGGAGGUUUCACUGGGGCCCCCUUCGACC